UACGAGAGGCCCAAACAUUAUUCGGAAUUACUGGGCUUAAAGAGUUCGUAGGCGGCCUGGCAAGUCGGGUGUGAAAUCCCUCGGCUCAACCGAGGAAUUGCGCUCUAAACUGCCGUGCUAGAGGAAGCUAGAGGUGAGCGGAACUGAUGGUGGAGCGGUGAAAUGCGUUGAUAUCAUCAGGAACACCGGAGGCGAAGGCGGCUCACUGGGGCUUUUCUGACGCUGAGGAACGAAAGCCAGGGUAGCGAACGGG
rnacentral:rRNA from 1 species